CCUACGGGUGGCAGCAGUGAGGAAUAUUGGUCAAUGGGCGGGAGCCUGAACCAGCCAAGUCGCGUGAGGGAAGACGGUCCUAUGGAUUGUAAACCUCUUUAGGCGGGGAGCAAUGCCGGGCACGUGUGCCCGGAGGGAGAGUACCCGCAGAAUAAGCAUCGGCUAACUCCGUGCCAGAAGCCGCGGUAAUACGGAGGAUGCGAGCGUUAUCCGGAUUUUUUGGGUUUAAAGGGUGCGUAGGCGGAUUUUUAAGUCAGCGGUAAAAUGUCCGGGCUCAACCCGGGCCGGCCGUUGAAACUGGGGAUCUUGAGUGGGCAGGAAGUAUGCGGAAUGAGUGGUGUAGCGGUGAAAUGCAUAGAUAUCACGCAGAACUCCGAUUGCGAAGGCAGCAUACCGGCGCCCGACUGACGCUGAGGCACGAAAGCGUGGGGAUCGAACAGGAUUAGAUACCCCUGUAGUC
rnacentral:rRNA from 1 species